UACUGAUUUUACGGUUUCUCCCCUUCAUAGCCUUUUUUGUUUCCCACUCUUGUUUCAAACUCCAAAAAAUAUUAUCAGUUUCAUUUUGAUUUUUCUUCAAUCAAGUAAUGGCUUACGAUGUUGAUUUUGAAUCUAUAUACAUAAUCAAAUUUUGUCUUCCUGUGGUCAUAAGAGGCUUCCGAGACUUUCCAGAGGGAUCUUUCUUUCAAAAAGAAAUGAACAUUAAACAUCAUGGAACAGGAAAUGAAAUAAGGGAGAAUUGGAAAAAUGCCCCAAAACUGGGUGCAAUAUUGGAAAUCUGCCCCAACAUUUAAAAAGUUGGAAAAAUGCCCCAUUCCGUUAGAAAUCCAGUUAAGUCACAUGUGUGAGCUUAUACAUGCGAAAAAAAAGCCAAAUAUAUCCUUCAGAAUUCAGGGUUUGGGGUUCAAAAUUCAGGAUUCAAGGUUUAGGGUUCAAGGUUUAAGGUUCGGGUGGUGGUGGCGUUGGUUUAGUGGUGGUUCUGGUGGUGAUGGUUGUCAUACACAUGUGACUUAACUGGGUUGGAUGGCAAUUUUAAAGGAAUGAGACAUUUUUCCAACUAUUUUUGACGUUGGGGCAGAUUUCCAACAUUGCACCCCAUAUUGGGGCAUUUUCCCAAUUUUCCCAUGAAAUAAUGGGAAUAAAGAAAAAAAAAACGGACAAAAACUAAGGGUCUACAAUUUGAAUUGUGAAGCCAAGAAGAAGCUGAAAUUGGAAUUAUUCAAAAGUCACAAAAUCAAUGCUUAAAGAUCAAAUAUAUGCUUUGGGGAACCCACAGCAUUUCUGGUGGACGACUCAUACUUUGAUCUGUAAGCAUUGCUGAUCAUCACAUUGAGGAUUUUAAUGUUUAAAGAGGAUUUCUUUCAAGGUGAAGAUGUUGGGUGGUGAAGGGUAACAUAAGAUUAACUCAUGCAAAUUUAAUUUAGUAGAGAUUAAUCAUUUGCUUGUCGCCAGUUGAACACUAUAUGCAACAGUGCUAGAAUGACGUUUCUAUUCCCUUUAA